CCUGCUGGGGAUGGCUGUUCUCGGUACUGUACUGUGCGCUGCCGCUGUUCGGGGUAGGCCAGUACGCCCUCCAGUACCCGGGGUCAUGGUGUUACCUCAACAUCCACGUCACCGGGGCCUCACCACUCCACCACGUCCUCUACACCAACGUCUUCGGCUUUUUCACCAUCGUCUGCCUCGUCAUCAUGGUCAUCUGCAACGUCGUCGUCAUCACAACGUUACUGUGUCUGCGGCUGUGUAGGGAGAAUGCUGUCGGUCGGCGCUGUGUGCACCUCAUCGGUCGUCCCGCCAGAGGGAGCUGGAGAUGCAGAUGGUCAUUGUCCUGGUGGUGAUCACAGUGGUGUUUGUCCUCUCCUGGUCACCUAUUGAUUUACGACUCUUCAUCAACCAGAUACGACCCCA